rnacentral:rRNA from 1 species
AGUGAACGCUAGUGGCGUGCUUAACACAUGCAAGUCGAACGGACGAUAUUUGUGCUUGCACAAAUAAAGUUAGUGGCAAACGGGUGAGUAAUACAUGAGAAUUUUCCUUGCAGUACGGAAUAACUAUUGGAAACAGUAGCUAAUACCGUAUAUUGCCGAGAGGUGAAAGAUUUAUCGCUGCAAGAUAAGCCCAUGCAAGAUUAGCUUGUUGGUAAGGUAAUGGCUUACCAAGGCUACGAUCUUUAGCUGGUUUGAGAGGAUGAUCAGCCACACUGGAACUUAGACACGGUCCAGACUCCUACGGGAGGCAGCAGUGAGGAAUAUUGGACAAUAGGCGAAAGCCUGAUCCAGCGAUGCCGCGUGGGUGAUGAAGGCCUGAGGGUCGUAAAGCCCUUUUAGUGGAGAAGAUGAUGACGGUAUCCACAGAAAAAGCUCCGGCUAACUCCGUGCCAGCCGCCGCGGUAACAC